rnacentral:tRNA from 2 species
ACACCAAUAGCUCAAUGGAUAGAGCAAUGGUCUUCUAAACCAUUUAUCAGAGUUCGAUUCUCUGUUGGUGUA